UACGUAGGGUGCGAGCGUUGUCCGGAAUUAUUGGGCGUAAAGAGCUUGUAGGCGGUUUGUCGCGUCUGCUGUGAAAAUCCGGGGCUCAACCCCGGACUUGCAGUGGGUACGGGCAGACUAGAGUGUGGUAGGGGGAGACUGGAAUUCCUGGUGUAGCGGUGGAAUGCGCAGAUAUCAGGAGGAACACCCAAUGGCGAAGGCAGAUCUCUGGGCCGUAACUGACGCUGGAGGAGCGAAAGCAUGGGGAGCGAACAGG
rnacentral:rRNA from 1 species